GCAGCAGUAGGGAUCUUCCACAAUGGACGCAAGUCUGAUGGAGCAACGCCGCGUGAGUGAAGAAGGGUUUCGGCUCGUAAAGCUCUGUUGUUAAAGAAGAACGUGGGUAAGAGUAACUGUUUACCCAGUGACGGUAUUUAACCAGAAAGCCACGGCUAACUACGUGCCAGCAGCCGCGGUAAUACGUAGGUGGCAAGCGUUAUCCGGAUUUAUUGGGCGUAAAGCGAGCGCAGGCGGUCUUUUAAGUCUAAUGUGAAAGCCUUCGGCUCAACCGAAGAAGUGCAUUGGAAACUGGGAGACUUGAGUGCAGAAGAGGACAGUGGAACUCCAUGUGUAGCGGUGAAAUGCGUAGAUAUAUGGAAGAACACCAGUGGCGAAGGCGGCUGUCUGGUCUGCAACUGACGCUGAGGCUCGAAAGCAUGGGUAGCGAACAGGAUUAGAUACCCUGGUAGUCCAUGCCGUAAACGAUGAUUACUAAGUGUUGGAGGGUUUCCGCCCUUCAGUGCUGCAGCUAACGCAUUAAGUAAUCCGCCUGGGGAGUACGACCGCAAGGUUGAAACUCAAAAGAAUUGACGGGGGCCCGCACAAGCGGUGGAGCAUGUGGUUUAAUUCGAAGCUACGCGAAGAACCUUACCAGGUCUUGACAUCUUCUGACAGUCUAAGAGAUUAGAGGUUCCCUUCGGGGACAGAAUGACAGGUGGUGCAUGGUUGUCGUCAGCUCGUGUCGUGAGAUGUUGGGUUAAGUCCCGCAACGAGCGCAACCCUUAUUACUAGUUGCCAGCAUUAAGUUGGGCACUCUAGUGAGACUGCCGUGACAACAGAGAGGUGGGGAC
rnacentral:rRNA from 1 species